rnacentral:tRNA from 1 species
GAGGGUAUAGCUCAAGCAGUAGAGUGCAUGCUUAGUAUGCAUGAGGUCCUGGGUUCCAUCCCCAGUAUCUCCU